rnacentral:rRNA from 1 species
CCCGCUCAGAAACUUAAAUAGAAUUGACGGGGGCCCGGCACAAGCGGUGGAGCAUGUGGUUUAAUUCGAUGAUACGCGAGGAACCUUACCUGGGCGUCGAACGUAAGAUGACUGUAGGUGAAAGCUUACAUCUCUUCGGAGCAUUUUACGAGGUGCUGCAUGGUUGUCGUCAGCUCGUGCCGUGAGGUGUCGGGUUAAGUCCCAUAACGAGCGCAACCCCUAUCAUUAGUUGCCAUCAGGUCAAGCUGGGGACUCUAAUGAAACUGCCUACGCAAGUAGUGAGGAAGGUGGGGAUGACGUCAAAUCAGCACGGCCCUUACGUCCAGGGCUACACACGUGCUACAAUGGCCGGUACAAAGGGCAGCUACCUGGUGACAGGAUGCUAAUCUCAAAAGCCGGUCUCAGUUCGGAUUGAAGUCUGCAACUCGACUUCAUGAAGCUGGAAUCGCUAGUAAUCGUGGAUCAGCCAAGCCGCGGUGAAUACGUUCCCGGGCCUU